rnacentral:lncRNA from 1 species
AUAAUGCAGCUGCAGGCGACUCUCCAGGAAGUGGGUGAGCAGAGGAGCCAGCUGGAACGUGAGCUGCAGCAUCAUAUGGAGAUGGUGGGGAGAAGUUGUGUGAGAUCACACAAUCAGUGAUGUUGAAGAGGGCGAAUGGAAACUGUGUAAAUGUUUCUUUCCCGUUUUCAGGCUGCGGAGACUCAAAGUCUUCUACAACUGCUCCAGGAGCAAAAUCAGAGCAGCAUUGAGCUGGAAAGACAAAGCGAGGAGAGGCGAGCUCAGCUCCAACAAGAGGUUGCAGAGAAGCAGUGUCUUCUACAGUCUCUCCAGGAGGAGCUGAACCAGCAGAAGCACAAACACUCUGAUCUGCUGAAACAGUGUGAGGAGAGGGAACGUGACUCACAGCAGCAAGUGAGUAAAGUGAGAAAGUAAAGGAAGGGUAUGUUUAAACCUGAUCUGUGAGUGUUCUCACUGUUGGUUGCUAUGUUGCCAUUUAAACAGACAAAGUCUCUCAGCGAACAGCUGGAGAGUGCUCGAGCAGAGAGGGACAGCCUGCUCUGUGAGAAGGACGCUGGCUGCCGGGGCUCCUCGGAGGAGAAGCAGCAGCAGCAGCAGCAGCAGCAGCAGCAGCUGCUGAGCAGAGUGACAUCUCUCUGCGAGGAGAGCGAUCAGCUGCAGGAGACCCUGCAGGGACUGAGGCAGGAUAGGCAGCAGCUCAGAGCAGAGCUGGAGGACAAGAUAGAGACGGUAAUAACCUGGUCCUUCUGGUAUUGUUAGCACGUGUGUCUGUAUAAUCAAAGUUCCAUCCCAGAACACAGUGAGGUCACACUGUGCUGUUCUCUUCCUGUCCUGCAGAUGCAGUGUGACUUCCAGUUGCAGCUCAGCAACAGAGUAGAAACAGUUAUGAGAACAGUUAUGAUAACAUAUUUAAAGUUGAAGUUAAUGAGACUCUUGAACUUCUCCUCUCUUCACAGAUGAAGACUCUAACAGAGAAGCUGGAGCUCAGUGAGUCAGAGAGAGACAGUCUGCUGUGUGAGGAGGAAGCCAGCUGUCAGAGAGUGACGCGUCUCAGUGAGGAGAGGGAUCAGCUGCAGGAGACACUGCAGCAGCUCCGAGCAGAGCUGGAGGACAAGAUAGAGACGAUGAAGACUCUAACAGAGAAGCUGGAGCUCAGUGAGUCAGAGAGAGACAGUCUGCUGUGUGAGGAGGAAGCCAGCUGUCAGAGAGUGACGUGUCUCAGUGAGGAGAGGGAUCAGCUGCAGGGGACACUGCAGCAGCUCCGAGCAGAGCUGGAGACACUGCACACUGAGAUGAAGACUCUAACAGAGAAGCUGGAGCUCAGUGAGUCAGAGAGAGACCGUCUGCUGUGUGAGGAGGAAGCCAGCUGUCAGAGAGUGACGUGUCUCAGUGAGGAGAGGGAUCAGCUGCAGGAGACACUGCUGCAGCUCAGAGCAGAGCUGGAGACACUGCAGACUGAGGCCUCUACAACACAAGAGCUUCUACAGUCAGUCCAAGAGGAGCUGUGUGAACAGCAGCAGCUGAACUCUGACCUGCAGAGACUGAAUGAGGAGAAGGAGAGUUCUCUAGAUCAACAGAUAAAGACUCUAACAGAGAAGCUGGAGAUCAUUGAGUCAGAGAGAGACGGUCUGCUGUGCGAGGAGGAAGCCAGCUGUCAGAGAGUGACAUGUGUCAGCGAGGAGAGGGAUGAGCUGCAGGAGACACUGCUGCAGCUCAGAGCAGAGCUGGAGGACAAGAUGGAGACGAUCUCUGCCAUUCAAGAGAAACUGAGGGAACAGCAGCAGCAACCUGAGAGAGUAGAACAAGAGGCCAAGCUGCAACAGGAAUUGCUCAGUGAAGCCAACACGACCAUCUCAGCCCUCAGAGAGCAGCUGAGCAAUUUGGGACGGCGGCUUCGCCUCAUCGCGGCUGCUCCGCUCCACUGA